GUGGGGAAUAUUGCACAAUGGGGGAAACCCUGAUGCAGCCAUGCCGCGUGUGUGAAGAAGGCCUUCGGGUUGUAAAGCACUUUCAGUGGGGAGGAAGGGCUGAUGACUAAUAUUCAUCAGCAUUGACGUUACCCACAGAAGAAGCACCGGCUAACUCCGUGCCAGCAGCCGCGGUAAUACGGAGGGUGCAAGCGUUAAUCGGAAUAACUGGGCGUAAAGCGCACGCAGGCGGUUAGAUAAGUCAGAUGUGAAAGCCCCGGGCUCAACCUGGGAACUGCAUUUGAAACUGUCUGACUAGAGUCUUGUAGAGGGGGGUAGAAUUCCAGGUGUAGCGGUGAAAUGCGUAGAGAUCUGGAGGAAUACCGGUGGCGAAGGCGGCCCCCUGGACAGGUACUGACGCUGAGGCGCGAAAGCGUGGGGAGCAAACAGGAUUAGAUACCCGAGUAGUCC
rnacentral:rRNA from 1 species